GCCUUUCGGGAUGGGACCCUUCUUGAUUCGCAAGGCAGAGUUCCCACCCGAAACCCGGCCUGUUGCGUUCCCUCCACCGAUGCUGCCUGUGGAAUUCUCUGCCUCAGAGGGCGGUGGAGGCCGGUUCUCUGGAUACUUUCAAGAGAGAGCUGGAUAGGGCUCUUAAAGAUAGCAGAGUCAGUGGAUAUGGGGAGAAGGCAGGAACGGGGUACUGAUUGUGGAUGAUCAGCUAUGAUUUCAUUGAAUGGCGGUGCUGGCUCGAAGGGCCGAAUGGCCUACUCCUGGUGUCUAUUGUCUAUUGUCUGACCCACUGAGUUUAGUUUUAGUUCAGUUUCAGUUUAGUUUAUCGUCACGUGUACCGAGGUACAGUGAAAAGCUUUUGUUGCACGCUAACCAGUCAGCGGAAAGACAAUACAUGAUUACAAUCGAGCCGUCCACAGUGUACAGAUACAGGAUAAAGGGAAUUACGUUUAGUACAGGGUAAAAGAUAGUCUGAGGGUCUCCAAUGAGGUAGAUAGUAGUUCAGGACCGCUCUCUAGUUGGUGAGAGGACGGUUCAGUUGCCUGAUAACAGCCGGGAAGAAACUGUCCCUGAAUCUGGAGAUGUGCGUUUUCACACUUCUGUACCUCUUGCCCAAUGGGAGAGGGGAGAAGAGGGAGUGGCUGGGGGUGAGAGACUAGUCCUUGGGAUGAAUCCCAGGGCACAUUGAAACUUCCCGAAUAGUGGAAGGCCUAGAUAGAGUGGAUGUGGAGAGGAUGUUUCCACUAGUGGGAGAGUCUAGAACCAGAGGUCGCAGCCUCAGAAUUAAAAGGAUGUACCUUUAGAAAGGAGAUGAGUAGGAAUUUCUUUAGUCGGAGGGUGGUGAAUCUGUGGAAUUCAUUGCCACAAACGGCUGUGGAGGCCAAGUCAUCUGGGUAGUUUUAAGGCAGAGAUAGAUAGAUUCUUGAUUAGUACGGGUGUCAGAAAUUACGGGGAGAAGGCAGGAGAAUGGGGGUUAGGAGGGAGGGAUAGAUCAGCCAUGAUUGAAUGGCGGAGUAGACUUGAUGGGCCGAAUGGCCAAAUGCUGCUCCUAUCACUUUAGACAGCGCUGGUACAGAAACGGGGACGUAUACAUGUCGGGGAACAUGUGGGCAGCGGUGUUCCCCUGCCCUUCCCAGUGGGAGCGGUAUGCUUGGGACAGCAGCUCGAUCCCCACCACGGUGGGCCGAAGGGCCUGGUUUUAAUCCGGACUCGGCAUUUGAUCAGUACGGGUGUCGGGGGGGUUAUGGGGAGAAGGUGGGAGAGAUAGAUCGGCCACGAUUGAAUGGCGGAGUAGACUUGAUGGGCCGAAUGGCCUAAUUCUGCUCCCAUCACUUAUGAACUUAUGGAGCCACUUUUGCUCAUCACCUGCAUCGCAGACUGUAACACACUCCACUGAGAAUAUUAACGAGUGCUGGAGUCUUCCUGAGAGACGGCUUGUAGGAAAGAAAACCUUUUUGCCAUGGGAACAAGUCCGAUCUUCCCGACAUAUCACUCACUCAACACAAUCCAGGUAGUCUGAUUGUUGUAAAUAUUAAAACUAAUAUGUUUCUCAAUAAAUUCUGUAUUUGUGGU